UUUUAUUUUUUUAAAAAUUUAGAUUUUUCCGAUACUCCUCACUUCUUUACUGGAUGGUUUCUCUUCACCUGAGCAGACUUCAGUGCUGAAAUAUUUGCUUUGUUGGAGAUAUUCUUCAGAAUAUCAGAACUUCAGAACUCUCAGUGCAUAAAGACUUUGUUCUGCUGCUUGUGAAAUGACUUCUGAAUGAUACAUGCUAUUCUUCACCUCAGAUUGUGUGGACCUUUCACAGUUUUUCUUCCAGUACAGCUGAAAGACCGGAAGACUGAGAGAAAAUGACGUCCUUGGGGUGAUUAAAUAUCAAGAUCUCUCUGAAGGAAAUAAUUAUUAAAACCAUCCAUCUUUAUGCUUACCUGAAGGUCUGCUGAGAAAACACUGUGGUAUGUUUGUUUUUUCUUAUUUCUUUUUGAUCAUGUGGCAUUUCUACAGCACUGCUGCAAGAGUUUUUACAUUUGAAUGAUUUCAGGUGAUGUAUUGCCAAGAUUAUGAAACUUCUUAAGAUAUAGAUAGUACUAAUUCUGUAUUAAAACUGGCAGUUCAAUUUUAAGCUCACUAGCAACUGGUUAAAUCACUGGUUACUGUCUUUGCUUUUUCAAAUUAAAGCUUAUUCGAAGCUUGUUGUGAUGCAGAUAAUAUGUAGAGAAGCUUCAGAUACCAUUCUGAUUGAGACCCAUACAUGAAAUAUAGACCAUAUCCUGCUCCAAAGGGUUUCACUGUCAGUAUAUUAGACAGAUGAAGAAGGAAAAGAAAAAGAACGGCGUGGAUUACCCAAAUAUGAAGUCAACAAGUCAGCAAUAAAAGGGAAAAAUAAUUUCAUUUCCUUUGGUUUAGAUUUGUAUUCUGAUGAAUAUGCUGUAUUUAAAUUUAAGCUAGAUUGUUCUAUGGUGAUGGAAUAAGCAGAGGUAAAAGACAAAAACAAC